CCUACGGGGGGCUGCAGUGAGGAAUAUUGGUCAAUGGGCGAGAGCCUGAACCAGCCAAGUCGCGUGAGGGAGUACUGCCCUAUGGGUUGUAAACCUCUUUUGUCGGGGAGCAAAAGCCGGACGUGUCCGGCUGUGAGAGUACCCGAAGAAAAAGCAUCGGCUAACUCCGUGCCAGCAGCCGCGGUAAUACGGAGGAUGCGAGCGUUAUCUGGAUUUAUUGGGUUUAAAGGGUGCGCAGGCGGAGUUUUAAGUCAGCGGUAAAAUCGUGGGGCUCAACCCCAUCCAGCCGUUGAAACUGGGGAUCUAGAGUGUGCGAGAGGUAGGCGGAAUGCGUGGUGUAGCGGUGAAAUGCAUAGAUAUCACGCAGAACCCCGAUUGCGAAGGCAGCAUACCGGUGCACAACUGACGCUCAGGCACGAAAGCGUGGGUAUCGAACAGGAUUAGAUACACCAGUAGUC
rnacentral:rRNA from 1 species